rnacentral:rRNA from 1 species
GCCAGCCGUAAAAAUUAUUUCACAUCACAAGCGCCAGGGUAUUACGAGCGCAAGCUUAAAAUCCAAAGGACUUGACGGUGUCCCACCCACCUAGAGGAGCCUGUUCUAUAAUCGAUGAUCCUCGAUACACCCUACCACUCCUUGCUUUAUCAGCCUGUAUACCUCCGUCGUAAGCCUACCGUAUGAAUGAUUCUUAGUAGGUUAAAGGACUUCUCCGCCAACACGUCAGGUCAAGGUGCAGCCUAUGAAGUGGAAAGCAAUGGGCUACAAUUUCUAAUAUAGAACAAACGAAAUACUACAUGAAACACAGUCAUAAAGGCGGAUUUAGUAGUAAAAGGAAACUAGCAUGUUCCUUUUAACAAGGCUCUGGGACGUGUACAAACCGCCCGUCACCCUCUUCAAUAGCAUUAUCAUCAGAUCCGUAACACAUUAUUAGCGCCCUAGAAGAGGCAAGUCGUAACAUGGUAAGUGUACUGGAAAGUGCACUUGGACUAACAAGGUGUAGCUUAACUAAAGCCUCUCGCUUACACCGAGAAAAUAUCUGUUAAACCCAGAUUACCUUGAGCCCACAAUCUAGCCUACCCGCAAUUUUAUAUAGACUCACACCAAAACCUUUUAUAAUAAAACAUUCUCAAGUUUUAGUAGAGGCGAUCGAAAAAAAUUUUAGAGC